UGGAAGAUUAUUGGUAUGUGUUACAAUACGAGGAAAAUCUAAGUUUUUUUAUUAAUCCAUAUUAGCAAUGCAAAGACAAAAUGGUAAGUCUAUAAUUAUGGAUUUCGAGUCAGUUUGAAUGAAAGUACUUAUAAAAGAAGUAAAAUAAACAAACAUUUUUAGGGGGUUACUCCCUGCACCUCCCCAAUUCUAACCCCCACCCCCCAUUCCACUUUUACCCUUUUCUCUAUUUUUUCUAUUCCAAUUUUAUCCUUUACCAAAAAUUUAUAUUUAGAAAUAUAAUUUUAUACUUUUAUUCUCCCACUCCCACAUAACCUAUUUAUUUUUAUAAUUUAAAUAUUUUAUAAAUUAAUUCUAAAUACAAUAAACUAAUAAAACAAAAAAUUAAAACAAACGUAACAAAAUUAAUUGAAGUUAAAAUAUAAUUACUUUAAAAGGAAAAAAACUAAAAAAAAAAAUAAAACGGAUAGCGACAUCCGUUGACGGUGCCUGUCUUCUUCCCCAACGCGCACAACAGCACAACACAGAGAUGAUACGAUGCAUACUCAAACAGAAACACCAGAGACAACACAGAUACACCACAGAGAUGACAAACUCAAACAGAAACACCAACUACCCAAUCCUACUCUACACAUUGCAUACGUUAAAAAAAAAAAAGAAGAAAUUAGAAGGAACUAACCUGUCAACGCUUG
rnacentral:lncRNA from 1 species